GUGGUCGCUUCAGUGCACAUACACCAAAAUUGGAAUGAUACAGAGAGGAUUAGCAUGGCCCCUGCGCAAGGAUGACACACAAAUUCAUGAAGCAUUCCAUAUUUUA